rnacentral:tRNA from 1 species
GUUCAAAUCCUUCCCCUGCUA